rnacentral:lncRNA from 1 species
UCUUAUGUAUAUGGCAUCAUCACUCUUGGCUUUUGUAGCAUAUUUCAAAGACUGUUAUUAAAGAUUUCUACCUCUACUUCACAAAACAUAUCAACCUUGUAUAUAGCCAGCCACUACAAGGUAUAAUUCUAAUCCAUACCUUCCAUUUUUCACAAUUAUGAAAUGAUGUCCCAUUCUAUAGAUCUGUAUUUCAUAAGUUGACAAUCAAUUUGCAUUCUAUCAUCUCAUGGUGCAAGGGUGGAAAUAUUUUUGUAGAAAGAGCAAGAUCACAUAAAAUGAUAAAUGCUUGUGUCAAAUUGUGUUGCGUGACAACAAAGCAAUAACAAUGGUAAGGGAGCACAUUGUUAGGAAGGAAGGAAGGAAAGAACCAAGGAGGCAACUUUACUGAAUUUAACUUGAAACUUGUUUAUUUGUAAAAUAUUUUUAUCUAUAACUUAUAAUUAUUUAGCUUGAAGUAUUAUACAAUCAUUUGAUGUUUCUACUUUGGAAGACAACAAUUCACAAUGGUUAAAAUUAAAUGUUAUCUCAAGUCACUAUUGUUUACCCAUAAGACUAAUCUUUUACUAAAGUCACUAUUGCAGCUUGGAUCAAAAUGAGGUGCAAUAAAAAAACAAAAAAUUGAAUGGUAUUGAGAAGAAGAAUUUAACUACUCGCGCGAUCACAAAUGAUGGAUGAUCGUUGUCAUUGUCUCUACCUUGUGUUGGACAUUCUGUUACUUUCUUGAACAUUUCAUCUACACUUUUAUCAACAAACAUGAGACUUUCUUCACUAUGCGAUGCUGCUACAGUUGCCGCUCUAAUGAACUUAGAGACAACUUGUCUGAACAUUCGAUUUCUAGACAACUUAGGAUCUUGUUCAACCUCUUUUCCCCUAAAAUCUUGCACAAUGCCACAACGGGCUUCUCUUGUCCACCUUCUUAAAAUAUACAUAUCAGAAAUCACUUUAACAUCGUUCAGCUCAAACACUUUUAAUGCAUGCGAACAAAGUAUGCCAAAUGUAUCAUACUUCUUACAACUACAAGUAAUGGAAGUUGAAACACGAUUAAAUGACACUCUAAAAGAUCCUUCAUGUUUCGUAUUAGUGAUGACAUAUUCACAUAGAGAGUCAGUUUCAUGUCUAAUAGGUACAGACAAAGCCAAGAAUAACUUAAACUCGUUUUGAAACAACUCAAAUAUAGUGUGUGUGUGUGUGUGUGUGUGUGUGUGUGUAUCUUUCCCAUUUGGAUUAGUAAUGGUGAAGUUUCAUACACUAACCUUGCAAGCUUAUGUGAGGACUCAUAAUCACAUUUCAGUUCUUUUUCUCUCUUCUCCCCAACAACUCUUUCGAAAUGUUUGAAGAAUUGCAGGAUACCCAAAUUCGGUUUUAGACAACAUUUAAAGUGAGCAUUCAAACUUUCACUAACUUGUGUACUUCGCAUGCCAAGUGUUAAUGCUUCCUUCAUAUAACAUGCAGCCCAUUUUUAUUUUAUUUCAUAGACUGAGUUGAUCCAAGUUGUUCCAUGAAGAUUAUGUUCAUUGACCAAGUCAAACCAAGCUUUCUCAAAAUCUGCUUCAAUGCCAAUCUCAUACAUGCACUUGCUGAAAUCUGUUAGCAAAGAAGCUCAUUUCUUCAUCCUGUUUCCAAGAUGUUUAAUUCCAUUCUGCAACAAAUGCCAUGUGCAUAAACCAUGGUGAGUAUCAGGCAUCACUUCUUCAAGUGCCCUAGACAUUGCUUGAUCUUGGUCAGUGAAGAUCGUCUUUGGUUUUUUGUUGUUGUGUGCUUGUAAGAAUGUUUCAAACAACCAUUUAAAUGAUGGAAUUGUCUCAUCAUACAUUAGAGCUGCACCAAAAAUGAUCGAAUCUCUAUAAUGGUUGAAACCAGAAAAAAAAGGCAAGCGGUCUAUUGGCAUCGUUGGUACAAUAUGUGGUGUCCAAUGAAACAACAUCACCAAAAUACCCGUAAUCCAAAAUCAUAUUUGCAUCACACCAGAACACAUUUGUAAUUUGUUCAUCUAUAUCCAUCUGAUAUGCAUAAAAGAAGGACGGAUUCUCCAACAACUGUCGUUGAAAAUACUGUGAAAGAUAUCCAGCAUCACCAUACACCAUACUUCUUUGUCUUUUUGUAGUGAUAUAGUUUCUUACAUCCACCUCUGUAAAUCCAACAUUAGCGCUAUGCCCUGCAUGUGUGCUCAUAAGUUGAUACACUUCCUUCUGCCUUAAUCCAGAGUCAUCGGCCAUAUCAAUCUCAUAUGCUUGUACUUCAGUUAUCUUUCUAUGUGAUCGAAGCAUGUGCGUUGUCUCUCGAUUUAGUAGAUCAUGGUUAUGGUUUUCUACAAACUCAUUGAUAACCAACUUUCCAUUUUUACUCGAAAGUGUAAUUCUUGCUAAGCAUUUCGUUCUAGUCUCGCCUCUCCGAAUUUUUCCUUCAUAUGCACAUUUAUCCUCUUUCUUCCGUAUUCCUUCCUUACAACAAACAAACCUACAUGACGAUACACUACCGUCUUUCUUCCAGUUUGUAAAGCGUACUCUAACUCCGAAGCCCUCACGUAAACCAUAAGCAAGAUAAAACUGUUCAGCCUCUUCUCUAGUGUCAAAUUUCAUUCCAAGUCUUGGCUUCCAAUCAUCAUUUGAAGAAGCCAUGUCAAAUACCCAAAUGAAGGUACCUGACAAGUAAAUAAAAGAGAUAAAAGAGGUAAGAACAAGGAGUGUCACUAAACAGGUUAACAAUACAUCCAAAUGAAGGUACCUACUCAUACAUCAGACCAAAAAACAGAGCAUAUUUAUUGCUCCUAAAAAACCUAAUUCAUCUAAUGUUUAGCUAUUAAACAGAGCAUAUGUAUUGCUCCUAAAAAACAGAGCAUAUUUACCCCUUGCAAUGAGUUUACUUCAAUCAUAAAAUAAAACCCUAAAUUUCUUAAAAUCUAAUCCUACAGAAUUGAAAUUGGUUCAAAAGCUUGUUUUCUUUUCCUAAUCAAGUGUAGUUAAUCCUUAUUUUAAUUUUGAGUUCCGUUUUUGUUUGUUCUCAUGACCAUAACUAUUCAAAAGAUGAAGAAAAAAAAAGAUAAGGAAGAAAGAAAGAACCUUACGAUACCAGACUAUCAAGCGACGGCGUGGCGGAGGUGGUCAUCGGAGGCGGACGCGUGAAUACUAGUUUGGGUGAGUGUCACCGCUGCUGCUUGAAGUGGCAAGAAGAAAGAGCGGCAAAGUAUUCUUAUGUUUUGCUUUUUCUGCAUCGCUUUCUUUUUAUUUCAAUUAAACUUGUUUUUUCUAUUUUUUUUUAUUAUUUUAAUAAGCCUUGACACGUGUCAAAUUCUAAUUGAUCCUAUGGCACAAUGGCACCAUAUUGCUAUGGCACUGAAGUGCUUCCCGAAGUAUUAUACAAUCAUUUGAUGUUUCUACUUUGGAAGACAACAAUUCACAAUGGUUAAAAUUAAAUGUUAUCUCAAGUCACUAUUGUUUACCCAUAAGACUAAUCUUUUACUAAAGUCACUAUUGCAGCUUGGAUCAAAAUGAGGUGCAAUAAAAAAACAAAAAAUUGAAUGGUAUUGAGAAGAAUAAUUUAACUACUCGCGCGAUCAAAAAUACAGUCAUUAAGGUUCAUAGGAAAACCUUUGAUCAAAGCUUCUGCGGUUGCAUGAGGUUUAGCCUGCCAAUGUUACAUAACCAAUGAGCCUAUGCGGAAAUUUGAAGUGCUAAAUAAAGAAUAAUUAAGGUCUAAAAAGGUAUAUUUUUCUCUACUCUUUAUUGUGAAAAGACAUGUAAAGGCUUUAUGUCUCUAAUUACGGCUUCCUCCACUUCAACAUGGAAACUCAUCUUCACAAUUU